AGUGAACGCUGGCGGUAGGCCUAACACAUGCAAGUCGAACGGCAGCACAGUAAGAGCUUGCUCUUACGGGUGGCGAGUGGCGGACGGGUGAGGAAUACAUCGGAAUCUACUUUUUCGUGGGGGAUAACGUAGGGAAACUUACGCUAAUACCGCAUACGACCUACGGGUGAAAGCAGGGGAUCUUCGCACCUUGCGCGAUUGAAUGAGCCGAUGUCGGAUUAGCUAGUUGGCGGGGUAAAGGCCCACCAAGGCGACGAUCCGUAGCUGGUCUGAGAGGAUGAUCGGCCACACUGGAACUGAGACACGGUCCAGACUCCUACGGGAGGCAGCAGUGGGGAAUAUUGGACAAUGGGCGCAAGCCUGAUCCAGCCAUACCGCGUGGGUGAAGAAGGCCUUCGGGUUGUAAAGCCCUUUUGUUGGGAAAGAAAAGCAGCAGGUUAAUACCCUGCUGUUCUGACGGUACCCAAAGAAUAAGCACCGGCUAACUUCGUG
rnacentral:rRNA from 1 species